rnacentral:tRNA from 1 species
GCGAGAUUAGUUUAGUGGUAGAACACGUGCUUCCCAAGCAUGGGGCGGGAGUCCGAUUCUCCCAUCUCGCA